rnacentral:rRNA from 1 species
AGAGUUUGAUCAUGGCUCAGAUUGAACGCUGGCGGCAUGCUUAAUACAUGCAAGUCGAGGGGUAAGAGUCACAUCGGUGCCUGCCGGCGAGUGGCGAACGGGUGAGUAAUGCAUCGGAACGUACCCAGUCGUGGGGGAUAGCGCAGCGAAAGUUGGGCUAAUACCGCAUAGCCGUCCUGAGGGCGAAAGCAGGGGAUCAACGGACCUUGUGCGAUUGGAGCGGCCGAUGUCAGAUUAGCUAGUUGGUGAGGUAAAAGCUCACCAAGGCGACGAUCGGUAGCUGGUCUGAGAGGAUGAUCAGCCACACUGGAACUGAGACACGGUCCAGACUCCUACGGGAGGCAGCAGUGGGGAAUUUUGGACAAUGGGGGGCAACCCUGAUCCAGCCAUGCCGCGUGAGUGAAGAAGGGCUUCGGGUUGUAAAGCUCUUUCGGCCGGGGAAGAAAGGGAGCUGAAUAAUACCCUGUAUGGAUGACGGUACCGGAAUAAGAAGCACCGGCUAACUACGUGCCAGCAGCCGCGGUAAUACGUAGGGUGCGAGCGUUAAUCGGAAUUACUGGGCGUAAAGCGUGCGCAGGCGGUUUUGUAAGACAGGCGUGAAAUCCCCGGGCUCAACCUGGGAACUGCGCUUGUGACUGCAAGACUAGAGUACGGCAGAGGGGGGUGGAAUUCCACGUGUAGAAGUAAAAU